UACAGGGGGUGCAAACGUUGCUCGGAAUCAUUGGGCGUAAAGCGCGCGUAGGCGGCCACCUAAGUCGGAUGUGAAAGCCCUUGGCUUAACCGAGGAAGUGCAUCCGAAACUGAGUGGCUGGAAGACGGUAGAGGAAGGUGGAAUUCCAAGUGUAGAGGUGAAAUUCGUAGAUAUUUGGAGGAAUACCUGUGGCGAAGGCGGCCUUCUGGACCGAUCUUGACGCUGAGACGCGAAAGCGUGGGGAGCAAACAGG
rnacentral:rRNA from 1 species